AAAUCAUAUAUUAAGCAAUAGCAAUAAUUGACCAAGAAAGCUUAGCAUCAUGAUUGAGAAUGCUUGAUAUGAAGAAGAGAUCAUGUUCUAUUUAUAGCAGGAAUGUCUCAAAAGAGUCCGUUGGCUACAAGAGAGGCUCCCGAGAAUAAAGAAUCUUUGUGACCAUGUGGUCACAUAUAAUUGAGAGGCCACUCAGUCAUGACCGAGCAGUAGUGGAAGAUUAAUUGGCAUUAUAUAAUGCAAGGCGAAUUUGGAAGAUUCAAUAGACAGCAAGUGAAGUUGGUGGAUUAAAUUGAAUUGUAUAAUACAAGUGCACUUGGUGAAUUAAUUAAGGGAAAUGGAGUUGGCAAGUGCACUUGGUGACUUAUAUAGUGGAGUCAGUGAACUGCUUGUAUGAUGAUAUCAACACUUGCAUUACACAUGGAUUAUUAAAUCAA